rnacentral:rRNA from 1 species
UAACGCGUGAGUAACCUGCCUUACACAAGGGGAUAGCCUCUGGAAACGGAGAAUAAUACCCUAUGACAUUACAACUUCGCAUGAAGCAGUAAUCAAAGUGUUAGCGGUGUAAGAUGGACUUGCGUCUGAUUAGCUAGUUGGUGAGAUAACAGCCCACCAAGGCAACGAUCAGUAGCCGGCUUGAGAGAGUGUACGGCCACAUUGGGACUGAGACACGGCCCAG